CCUACGGGAGGCAGCAGUGAGGAAUAUUGGACAAUGGUCGAAAGACUGAUCCAGCCAUGCCGCGUGCAGGAUGACUGCCCUAUGGGUUGUAAACUGCUUUUAUACGGGAAGAAAAACACCUACGUGUAGGUGACUGACGGUACUAUUAGAAUAAGGAUCGGCUAACUCCGUGCCAGCAGCCGCGGUAAUACGGAGGAUCCAAGCGUUAUCCGGAUUCAUUGGGUUUAAAGGGUCCGUAGGCGGGUCUUUAAGUCAGUGGUGAAAGCCGACAGCUCAACUGUCGAACUGCCAUUGAUACUGGAGACCUUGAGUACAAAUGAAGUAGGCGGAAUGAGUCAUGUAGCGGUGAAAUGCAUAGAUAUGACUCAGAACACCGAUUGCGAAGGCAGCUUACUAACAUGUAACUGACGCUGAGGGACGAAAGCGUGGGGAGCGAACAG
rnacentral:rRNA from 1 species